rnacentral:sRNA from 1 species
AUUUACCACGUACACUCCGGUUCCUCCACGCGGCCGCAUCCACCUGACGAUUGCUCGCUACAUUCCGUUAGGC